rnacentral:tRNA from 1 species
UCUUGUGGCUCAGACAGUAGAGAAUCUGCCUGUAAUGCAGAAGACCCAGGUUCAAUCCCUGGGUCAGGAA